rnacentral:rRNA from 1 species
UACGUAGGGGGCAAGCGUUGUCCGGAUUUAUUGGGCGUAAAGAGCGUGUAGGCGGCCAUGUAGGUCCGUUGUGAAAACUCGAGGCUCAACCUCGAGACGCCGAUGGAAACCGUCUGGCUAGAGUCCGGAAGAGGAGAGUGGAAUUCCCGGUGUAGCGGUGAAAUGCGCAGAUAUCGGGAAGAACACCCGUGGCUAAGGCGGCUCUCUAGUACGGUACUGACGCUGAGACGCGAAAGCGUGGGGAGCGAACAGG